rnacentral:rRNA from 1 species
AGCGAACGUUAGCGGCGGGCUUAACACAUGCAAGUCGCACGAGAACAGGGCUUCGGCCCCUAGUAAAGUGGCGGACGGGUGCGUAACACGUGGCUAACCUGCCCUUCAAUGGGGGAUAACUGUCCGAAAGGAUAGCUAAUACCGCAUACGUCGGCGGGGUCUUCGGAUCCCGUCGGGAAAGCCGGCCUCUACAUGUAAGCUGGUGUUGAAGGAGGGGGCCGCGGCCCAUCAGCUAGUUGGUGAGGUAAUGGCUCACCAAGGCUAAGACGGGUAGCUGGUCUGAGAGGAUGAUCAGCCACACUGGGACUGAGACACGGCCCAGACUCCUACGGGAGGCAGCAGUGGGGAAUAUUGGGCAAUGGGCGCAAGCCUGACCCAGCCACGCCGCGUGAGUGAUGAAGGCCUUCGGGUCGUAAAGCUCUGUGGGGAGGGACGAAAGCCCGGAAGCUAAUAUCUUCCGGUUUGACGGUACCUCCUUAGCAAGCACCGGCUAACUCCGUGCCAGCCGCCGCCGUAAUAC